rnacentral:rRNA from 1 species
UACGUAGGGUGCGAGCGUUGUCCGGAAUUAUUGGGCGUAAAGAGCUCGUAGGCGGUCUGUCGCGUCGGUCGUGAAAACUUGGGGCUUAACCCUGAGCUUGCGGUCGAUACGGGCAUGACUGGAGUUCGGCAGGGGAGACUGGAAUUCCUGGUGUAGCGGUGAAAUGCGUAGAUAUCUGGAGGAACACCGGUAGCGAAGGCGGCAUCCUGGACCGGCAUUGACGCUGAGGCGCGAAAGCCAGGGGAGCAAACGGG